rnacentral:misc_RNA from 1 species
UUUCCGUAGGUGAACCUGCGGAAGGAUCAUUACUGAGUGAGGGCCCUCUGGGUCCAACCUCCCACCCGUGUUUAUUGUACCUUGUUGCUUCGGUGCGCCCGCCUCACGGCCGCCGGGGGGCUUCUGCCCCCGGGUCCGCGCGCACCGGAGACACCAUUGAACUCUGUCUGAAGAUUGCAGUCUGAGCAUAAACUAAAUAAGUUAAAACUUUCAACAACGGAUCUCUUGGUUCCG